rnacentral:rRNA from 1 species
CGGAGGAUUCUAGCGUUGUCCGGAUUUAUUGGGUUUAAAGGGUGCGUAGGCGGAUGUCUAAGUCAGGGGUGAAAGCCGGCAGCUUAACUGUCGAAAUGCCUUUGAAACUGGACAUCUUGAAUAUAGUUGAGGUAGGCAGAAUGUGACAUGUAGCGGUGAAAUGCUUAGAUAUGUUACAGAACACCGAUUGCGAAGGCAGCUUACUAAGCUAUUAUUGACGCUGAGGCACGAAAGCGUGGGGACCAAACAGGAUUAGAUACCCUGGUAGUCCACGCCCUAAACGUUGCAUACUCGUUGUUGGCGAUAUACAGUCAGCGACUAAGCGAAAGCGUUAAGUAUGCCACCUGGGGAGUACGACCGCAAGGUUG